UACAGGGGGGGUAAGCGUUGUUCGGAAUUACUGGGCGUAAAGGGUCUGUAGGUGGCCAACUAAGUCAGACGUGAAAUCCCUCAGCUUAACUGGGGAACUGCGUCUGAUACUGGAUGGCUUGAGUGGUGGGAGAGGAAUGCGGAAUUCCAGGUGUAGCGGUGAAAUGCGUAGAUAUCUGGAGGAACACCGGUGGCGAAGGCGGCAUUCUGGACCAUAACUGACACUGAGAGACGAAAGCCAGGGGAGCAAACGGG
rnacentral:rRNA from 1 species